UGGUGUGGCUCCCACCCCUGGGCCCAGACAACAGCCACAUGGAAUCGUAAGGACCCUUUCCUCAAAGCGCCCAGUCUGGAUGCCAGGGCCGCAGCCCCAGCCUCCCUCACAUCGGUGUGCUAGGACGAGAUGUUUGCAGUGACACGCGUGCAAAGAGAGGAUGCCACUUAUUUUUAACGAACUGUGUGAAAAAUUACGCAUUCAUCUUCUUGGAGCGCCAUAAUCCCCGCCUGAAUUGUUACCUUUUUUGAAACGAUUCCGCCCUUUGCAGGAGGGGGCUACCGCCUCGGCGCAGCACCAGAGGAGGAGUCUGCCUACGUGGCAGGAGAAAGGAAGCGGCAUUCAGGCCAAGAGGUUCAUGUCGUGCUGAAGCUCUGGAAAACUGGAUUCAGCCUAGACAGUGGUGAACUUAGAAGCUACCAAGACCCCGCCAAUGCCCAGUUUCUGGAGUCUAUCCGUAGAGGGUUCUUAUCCGUGGUCAUGCUCAGCACCAGCUCCAGCUCUGCAUUCAAGUGUCAAGCACUGCAGACUUCACCUUGGUUCCACUCAAAGCACAGUUGGUGGGCCUCACCUUACUCAAGGCAGGAUGCCCUGGGGCAAAGUGCACACCAUGGCAUGUGCUGGCUUCCCAUGGCUCCUAGGAAGCAGUAGAGCAGAUGGUUAAUAUUUCAGAAGAGGGUGGAGACAAGAAAGAACUAACUGAUUUGGAGGGACAUCUAGGCAUUACCGUGUUUGGAAUGCAAAUCUUCUCCAUUUCAAGCAAACUUCCCUACCAUCAACUGAACACAAGGCACAUUGGGAGGGGAGGAUAUGUGUGUGAGUGUGUGUGUGUCUCUCCCUGUCUGUCCAGGUAUACAGUCCAGAAGAAUGCAUCCAAGUGAUUCAGGUUGCAAAGCAACAAGCAGUUUCACCAGUAAUAGUGCUGGGUUGAGCUGAGAAGGUUUCUGGAUGUUGGUGGGAGUAGGAGCAAGCUAUCUAGUAAGCCAGGAUGGUUCUAAGAACUGCACAUAACCAGUGGACUCACCUGCUCCUGUACACUCUACCUUCCAAAUGAGUCCUGGAUAGACACUCCCUGCAAUCUCAUUCCUUUGUUUCUGGCUCUGGUCUGGUCAGCAAUUUUCAUUUUGGACACACACCAAUAGGUCAAGGUGUGUGUCUGGCUGGUCCUCCUCCUCUUCCACUGUCGCCUUCUCUUCUCCUGUGUCUUCUAAUGGCACACAGGUACAUCUGGAGACAGGCAGUUGAUAAUCUCACCAUGAAUGGAAGGACCUCUGAGGUCUUUUCCUGAUGAUCACCAGCACUCCGUGAACCCCUGUUUACAGGAUUCUUGAGUCCCACAGUGCUUCACGCGGUUGGUGAAAUUGUGGCUCUGCCAGCCAUCAGGAACCUUUGUAGAGGAGAGAGUCAGGAGGAUUAUGAGUUCAGACCUGCCUCUCAGAAUCCAUUUUCAGUCCUUAGGGUCCGAGGUGAUCUGAGAAGGGUGUGGUUACACCCCUCACAGAGACCCUCCUUCCCCACAGUUCAUCUGCAGAUACAGGAAUGGUUUAUGUCCCCAGAUUCAGCCGGUGAUAUGGACAGAGCAUGGCACUGGCACACAGCUGUCCAAAAUGCCAAUCUGGACCUCUCUUCUCCUGCACUGUCUGCAUCCUCAGCCAACUGCCAUCUACCCUCUGGCAUCAGCCUCUAGGGAGCACUGUGCCUCCACCAGCACUUGGAAUAGACACAAGAAUGGGGCCUCUUGGUAAAAGUAGGCAGGGCUUGCAUGUGGCUGUGCUUGCACUGGGCUGGCUUGGAUUCUCAGGCUGCUUCCUCCUGAGCGCUCCCUUGUUCCCUUCACCGACCCUUCUCCAGCCUCCUUGCCCAGCUGUCUAUCUAGCUCAAGUUUCUCAAAGAAGGAUACUGUGGGGUUUGCUUUCUAGUGUGAUCAUACAAUAUCACCAAACCCUAAAAUGUGAGUCUUUAUAAUCUGUUUAUCUAAAAUGAAUUUUUUUUAAGUCCAGGAAACAGCUCAGUGGGUAGAAGCAUUUGCUGCCAAGCCUGGGGACCUUAAUCUGUUCCCCAGGACCCGUAUGAUAGAAAGACAGAACUGCAAGUUCCUCCACAAACGCACAGUACAUAAUUUAUUUUUCUUUAAAGAAAAGGACAUUAAGCUGGAUGUUGUGACACGUGCCUGAAAUCCUAGCACUGGUGGAAGCAGAGGCAGGUGGAUCUCUGUGAGUUUGAGUCCAGACUGGACUACAAAGCAAGUCUAGGACAGCCAGGGCUACAUAGGGAAUCCCUUGUUUUAUAAAAACAUAAUAAAGAAAAGAAAAGGACAUCAUAAAAAAAAGUUUUUAAAAAGAGGCCUAGAUGCAAAAGUGCAUUGUAGCUUCUCCACCUACCUGGUACCACAGCUCCUUCUACAGCCCUUUUAGUCCAGAGCCAAGAUUUAGUUCUUGACUAGGAGCUGUCUCCUUUGGAUGGGCAUGCAGCAACAUAACCUUCCAAGUCCUUUUGUGAUGUUCCUGCUGAUGCUUUUCCAAACCCACUUCCUAAAGGGGCUCUGAGUAUAAUUUGGUGCUGGCCAUGAGAUGUCUUAGGCCUGAUUCUGGGGAGAAUGGGCUGGGCUCUUUUCUUCCUACAAUAGGCCCUUCUUCCUGGGUCCUCUUGCUGGAGAAUAGUGUUGAUAUGGGCUGUUUUUUAUUUGUUUGUUUGUUUUGUUUUGUUUUUGUUUGUUUUGUUUGUUUGUUUGUUUUGUACAAUGGAACCCUCUUCUUGGCCUCCUUGCUGGAGAAAAGAGGUUACCUGGCCUUUUUUACUUUUACUUUGGGGUCGGUACCCUGGGCCUCCUUGAUGGAGAAUUGAGAUGCUCUAUGUUCUGAGCUCAUAAUGUUGUUUGAACCGGCUGUAGUCACUUCUUGGGGCUGUCAGCUGAGGUCCUCCUUAGGUGAAGCUUUUGGGAGAGAUGAGCUGAUACUCUCACCAGUUAUGUUGGUGUUCUUACAUUGAUAUUCCUCCUCAGAGGCAUGAUGGAAUAACAUAUCCUGUGAGGACACAGGAUGUUUUUCAAAUUGUUAGAGCCAACUUUCAACACAUCCUGAGAUGACUGCCUGCAGUGAGGUUUCAGUGGUGUGUUCUCUAAACACAUUUUGGUAUAUAUUUCUUCUGAGAUGUCAGUGCUGUUUGUGUCCCACCUGGUGAUGCUCAUGAAAUGAGCCUCAUGGAAUCACUGGGGACAGAUUUUAGGAGGGUUAUCUCAUUGUUCAAGCAGAUCAGGGUGGGUGGCCAACUGUACCUCCUUUUACCCUCUAUGUUAUUCUCAGGACUCUGAGGUACAUUGCGAUCAAGGAAGGUGGGAAGGGAAGGGACACCAUAUGUCCUGUUUAUAGUCACUUUUGGUGUCAUGGUUCACCCUGUGAGGUUCAAGGUUCAAUCCGACUGCCUGGGCUUAAGUUUUGUUUUAAAAUUGUCCCCCCAGGGUGACUGUUGCCUAAGAAUAAGAUAUGUAGCCAUCACCUGGUCAAACUUUUUCUCCUGUAAAGGUUGCUGUAUCUCUCUUUUCUUGUAUCCCAUGACUCUCAUGAUGACCAUUACAGUGGGGUUUUUGUGGCUGUUAGUGUUCUCUCUAAAGAAAUUGGGAGAACCUUCACCGUUAAGCUUUAGCCAUUGAAAGUUCAGAAUAUCACCAGUUGUCAGCCUUAGUCCAGGGAGUUAACAACUUAGCAAUCACAUCCCAGAGCUCCUUUGACAGCUUGAAUCUGACGGAGUACUUUCCUGCCAAGACCCUCUGCUUUAGCCCUUCAUAUGUACAUCCCUGGAAAGGGAGGCACCCAGUCGACAUAGAGUAGAGCACAACCCCCAAGCUCCAGACAUCAAUUGCAAGGCCGUUGUAGCCGCUUCCUUCAAAGAGUUCUGGGGCACAAUGAGGGAGGAUCCCACAAAAAGCUGCCUGCUUCUGUCCCAUGGUGAGCUUGGUGGCCAAUCCAAAAUCGCUCAGUUUGAUAUUCCCUUUGCUGUCCAUUACUUUUUGGUUAAUGUUCACUUAGAAGUGAAUACAUAACCAUGCAAGUCUUUCUGGAUCUGGAUUACCUUACCCAGGGUGGUCUUUUCCGUAUCCAUUUGGUGAAAUUUUCAAUUUUGUGGAAUACAGGCUUUUGAAAUAAAAUCUAAUGUUUAUAUUUCCUCAAUAUCUGUUAUGUCCCCCCCCUUUUCAUUUCUGAUUUUCUCAAUUUGAAUACUAUCUGUCUGCCUUUUAGCUUGGCUAAAACUUUGUCUAUCUUGUUGACUUUCGCCAAGAGCCAGCUCUUGGUUUUUUUGGCUCUUUGUAUUGUUAAUUUAUUGAUUUUAGCCCUGAGUUCGAUUAUUUCCUGCCAUCUAAUUACUCUUGGGUGUGUUUGCUUCUAUUUGUUCCAGAGCUUUCACAUGUGCUGUUAAGUUGCUAAUAUGAGAUCUCUCUAAUUUCUCUACAAAGGUACUUAGUGCUAUAAACUUUUCUCUUAGCACUGCUUUCAUUGUGUUUCUAAGUUUGGGUAUGUUGUGCCUUCAUUUUCAUUGAAUUUUAGACAGUCUUUAAUUUCUGUAUUUGUUCCUUGACCCAGUGGUCAUUGAGUAGAGAGUUGUUCCAUUUCCAUGAGUUUGUGGGCUUUCUGUUGUUUCUGUUGUUGAAUUCCAGCUUUAAUCUUUGGUGGUCUGAUAGAUACAUGGGGUUAUUUAAAUUUUCUUGUAUCUGAGACUUGCUUUGUUCCCAUGUAUAUGGUCAGUUUUGUAAAAGGUUCCAUGAAGUUCAGAGAAGAAGGUAUAUUCUUUUGUCUUUGGGUGAAAUGUUCUGUAGAUACCUGCUAUGUCUAUUUGAUUCAUAUCUAUUAGUUUUAUUAUAUCUCUGUUUAGCUUCUGUCUGGAUGACCUGUCUAUUGGUGAGAGUGGGGUGUUGAAAUCUCUCACUAUUAAUGUGUGAGAUUCCAUGUGCGAUUUAAACUUUAGUAAUGUCUUUUACAAAUGUAGGUAACCUUGAGUUUAGGCUAUAGAUGUUCAGAAUGAAGACAUCAUGUUGGUAUAUUUUUCCUUUGAUGUAUUUGAAGUGUUUUACCCUAUUUCUUGAUUAAUUUUUAUUCAAAUCUAUUUUAUUAGAUACUAGAAUGGCUACUUCAGCUUUCUUCUUGGGUCCAUUUGAUUGGAAAAUCUUAUUUCCAGCUCUUUACUCUGAGGUAAUGUCUGUCUUUGUUGCUGAGGUGUGUUUCUUGUAUCCUGAAGAAUGAUGGGUCUUGUUUUCACAUCCAUUUUGUUAGCCUGUGUCUUUAUAUUGGGGAAUUGAGUCCUUUGAUGUUGAGAGAUAUUAAAGACCAGAGGUUAUUGAUUCCUAUAAUUUUGAUAAUGGUGGUAGUAUAUGUGUAUGUGUGAGAGAGAAAGAGAGUGUGUGUGAAUUUCUGGUUUGCUGCUGCAGAGUUAUUUAUCUCCUCGUGUUUUCUUGGGUAUAGUUAACCUUGGUUUCCAGGGUUGGGUUGGUUUUUUUUUUUUUUUUUUUCCUAGUAUCAUCUUUUCUAGUAUCUUUAUUGUAGGGCUGGAUUUGUGCACAGAUAUUGUUCAAAUUCAGUUUUGUCAUGAAAUAUAGUUUUCUCCAUCUAUGUUGAUUGAAAGUUUGCUAGGCAUAGUAGUCUAGGCUUACAUAUGUGGUCUCUUAGAGUCUGCAAGACAUCUGUCAAGGCCCUUCUGGCUGUUAGAGCCCCUGUUGAGAAGUUAGGUGUAAUUCUGAUAGGUCUGCCUGUAUAUGUUAAUUAGCCUUUUCCCUUAAUAUUCUUUCUUUGGUCUGUACAUUUAGUGUUUUGUACUACUGUGUGGCAAUUUGAUUUUCUUUUUUUGUUCAAUCUAUUUGGUAUUUAUAGGUAUCUCUUUCUUUAGGUUGUGGAAAUUGUCUUCUUUGAUUUUUUUAAAUUAUUUAUUUUAUGUAUAUGAGUGCUCUAUCUGCAUGUGUGCCUGCAUGCCAGAAGAGGGCAUCAGAUUCCAGCACAGACAGUUGUGAGCCACCAUGUGGUUGCUGGGAAUUGAACUUAGGACCUCUGGAGUAGCAGACAGUGCUCUUAUCUGCUGAGCCAUCUCUCCAGCCCCUCCUUCUUUGAUUUUAAAAUAUUUUUUAGGCAUUGGAGUUGGGAGUCUUCUCCUUUUUCUAUUCCUAUUUUUCUUAGGUUUGGUGUUUUCAUAGGGUCCCAUAGUCCCUGGAUGUUUUGUGUCAGGAGCUUUUUAGAUUUAACAUUUCCUUUGACUGAUGCAUUUAUUUCUUCAAUUUUCUCUUCUAUAUCUGGGAUCUCUUUUCUAUUUUUUGUAUUCAUUGGGUAAGCUUGUGUCAGUAGUUCCUGUUAUCUUCCCUAGGUUUUGCAUCUCCUGGAUUGUCUCAAAUUUUGUUUUCUUUAUUGCUUAUAUUUCCAUUUUCAGGUCUUGAACACUUUUAUUCAUUUCCUUCACCUGUUUGAUUGUAUUUUCCUGUAUUUCUUUAAGGAAUUUAUUUAAUUACCGUUUAAAGACCCCUAUCAUCUUUGUAAGAUUGGGUUUAAGGUCCUCAUAUCUCUGCUUUCGCUUUACAGUAACAGUUGAAUAACAUGACUAUGAGAUCUAAAACAAUUAGUUCUUUACAGAAAAAAAAAAAAAAAAAAGAGUUCGCCCAUACCCUGACAUACACAAGCCACAAAUGGGUUUCUGAUGAUCAGGUGAAAGGGAUGGACAGACUACCUAUAGUUUAUUUUGUAGAGCAGAGUCACAGUUGAAAUCUCAUUGCUAUUGAAGAAAAUAAGUUUAUGCAAUUUCCCAAAAGUAUUCUCCUUUAAGAGACUACCUCUAACUGAUACAGUAGUGAAUCAGUUGUGUCCCUUUAGGCUAGCAGUCAGCCAACAUAAUGAAUGCAUUAUUUGGAAUUACUUUUUGUUAGUUGUGUCAACUGCCAUAAUAAAUGUAGAAGUUGCUGAUGAGCACAGAA